rnacentral:SRP_RNA from 1 species
CAGAUUAAUAUUGACUUGAAAUGCUAUUUGUGUUAUUAUCUUAAUGCACUCUGUCCGAGUGAAAACUUGGUCUCGCGCAACAGAACCCUAUGAAUCUUGUCAGGUCCGGAAGGAAGCAGCAAUAAGUAGACCGUUUUGUGUGACGUGAGGAAGCCUGGUUGAAUCUCGGCAGGGUGCUUUAAUUUAAAAUUUAAUCUG